CUUUCAGAUUGCUGAGUCUGUGUGGACAGUCCUUAAGGGAAAUAUAAACAUCAUUUUUACCAUCUUGACAACAAGUAUUUCUCUGAUUUUUGGAGGUGGAACAGCACUCCUUAACUUAGUUAUCUCAUUUGUUAUUUUCAUGACAACCUUGUUUUACUUGCUGAGCUUCAGUGAUGACCAGUACAAACCGAUGCAGUGGAUAUCAGGGCUUGCACCAACUGGACGAUUUGGCAACAAAAAGUACAGUAAUGCUGUUGAGGAAGCGAUAAGGAGUGUGUUUGGAGCAUCAAUGAAGAUGGCAGCAUUUUAUGGUUUGUUUACGUGGUUCACUCAUACUCUCCUAAGCAUGAGGAUAGUGUACAUACCAGCAGGUGAGGAGAAC